rnacentral:rRNA from 1 species
AUUGAACGCUGGCGGCAUGCCUUACACAUGCAAGUCGAACGGCAGCAUGGGAGCAAUCCUGGUGGCGAGUGGCGAACGGGUGAGUAAAGUAUCGGAACGUGCCCAGUCGUGUGGGAUAACGUAGCGAAAGUUACGCUAAUACCGCAUACGAUCUAUGGAUGAAAGCGGGGGAUCGCAAGACAUCGCGCGAUUGGAGCGGCCGAUAUCAGAUUAGGUAGUUGGUGGGGUAAAGGCUCACCAAGCCGACGAUUAGUAGCUGGUCUGAGAGGACGACCAGCCACACUGGGACUGGUAGACGGCCCAGGCGCCUACGGGAGGCAGCAGUGGUAAUUUUGGACAAUGGGCGAGAACCUGAUCCAGCCAUGCCGCGUGCAGGAUGAAGGCCUUCGGGUUGUAAGCUGCUUUUGUACGGAACGAAAAGGUUUGGCCUAAGAAGCUGAGCUCAGGACGGUACCGUAAGAAUAAGCACCGGCUAACUACGUGCCAGCCGCCGCCGUAA